rnacentral:rRNA from 1 species
GUUGUUAAAUAGCCGCGGUAUCUUGACCGUGCAAAGGUAGCAUAAUCAUUAGUUUUUUAAUUGAAAACUCGUAUGAAUGGUUGGACAAAGAAGAGACUGUCUCCUAUAUUAAAAUUGAAUUUAACUUUUAAGUGAAAAGGCUUAAAUAUUUCAAAGGGACGAUAAGACCCUAUAAAGCUUUAUAAAUUUGUGAAAUCUGGUGUAUUUUUAUAUAUAAAUAAUUUUUUAUAAUUUUAUUUGGUUGGGGCGACAAUAGUAUAAUAUAGGUAACUGCUACUAAAUUAUACAAAAAUAUUUGAUUAACUUAAAUAAUCGAUCCUUUUUAAAGAUUUUAAGAUCAAGUUACUUUAGGGAUAACAGCGUUAUUUUUCCUGAGAGUUCUUAUCAAAGGAAAAGUUUGCGACCUCGAUGUUGAAUUAAAAUGUCUAUAUAGUGCAGCAGCUAUAAGAGAAGGUCUGUUCGACCUUUAAUAUUUUACGUGAUCUGAGUUC